UACGGGGGGGGCAAGCGUUGUUCGGAAUUACUGGGCGUAAAGGGCUCGUAGGCGGUCUGUCACGUCGGGAGUGAAAACCCAGGGCUCAACCCUGGGCCUGCUUCCGAUACGGGCAGACUAGAGGUAUGCAGGGGAGAAUGGAAUUCCUGGUGUAGCGGUGAAAUGCGCAGAUAUCAGGGGGAACACCGGUGGCGAAGGCGGUUCUCUGGGCAUUACCUGACGCUGAGGAGCGAAAGUGUGGGGAGCGAACAGG
rnacentral:rRNA from 1 species